ACAUGGGCUAAAAGAGAAUCCAAGAUUCCUAAAUGCGACCAACUGGUGUUACUUUUCGCUUGACUCAAGGCUAAGCCUGUCCCUUAAAGAUUAAAGUGAGUACAUGUUUGCAUAUGACCUAUAAAUUGGAAUUGAUACAUAAUAAUUGUAAUCCAUUCUUGGCUAAGCAUGAGGAUGCACCACUCCAUGUAUAAAUCAACUUGGACUUGUUUGGAUGCCUGCAUAAAUUAUCUACCUAAUAACACCGUAUGUGGUUGGCAAGGGACUUGGCACGCAGGGAUG
rnacentral:lncRNA from 1 species